CCUACGGGAGGCAGCAGUGGGGAAUAUUGCGCAAUGGGCGAAAGCCUGACGCAGCGACGCCGCGUGAGGGAUGAAGGUCUUCGGAUCGUAAACCUCUGUCAGCAGGGAAGAACGGUCACUGUGCUAAUCAGCAGUGAAUUGACGGUACCUGCAAAGGACGCACCGGCUAACUCCGUGCCAGCAGCCGCGGUAAUACGGAGGGUGCGAGCGUUAAUCGGAAUUACUGGGCGUAAAGCGCUCGUAGGCGGUAUGUCAAGUCAAGGGUGAAAUCCCCGCGCUCAACGUGGGAACUGCCUUUGAAACUGGCAAACUGGAGUGUGUGAGAGGAUAGUGGAAGUCCAGGUGUAGGAGUGAAAUGCGUAGAUAUCUGGAGGAACAUCAGUGGCGAAGGCGACUAUCUGGCACAUAACUGACGCUGAGGAGCGAAAGCGUGGGUAGCAAACAGGAUUAGAUACCCUAGUAGUC
rnacentral:rRNA from 1 species